rnacentral:rRNA from 1 species
UAGCUAGUUGGUAGGGUAAAGGCCUACCAAGGCGACGAUCGGUAGCUGGUCUGAGAGGAUGGUCAGCCACACUGGGACUGAGACACGGCCCAGACUCCUACGGGAGGCAGCAGUGGGGAAUAUUGGACAAUGGGGGCAACCCUGAUCCAGCGAUGCCGCGUGUGUGAAGAAGGCCUGCGGGUUGUAAAGCACUUUCGGUGGGGAGGAGGAUUACUAGGUUAAGAGCUAAGUAGUUGGACGUUACCCAAAGAAGAAGCACCGGCUAACUCCGUGCCAGCAGCCGCGGUAAUACGGAGGGUGCGAGCGUUAAUCGGAAUUACUGGGCGUAAAGGGUGCGUAGGCGGUUUAUUAAGUUAAGUGUGAAAGACCCGGGCUUAACCUGGGGAUGUCAUUUAAGACUGAUAGACUAGAGUAUGGGAGAGGGUAGUGGAAUUUCCGGUGUAGCGGUGAAAUGCGUAGAGAUCGGAAGGAACACCAGUGGCGAAGGCGGCUACCUGGCCUAAUACUGACGCUGAGGCACGAAAGCAUGGGGAGCAAACAGGAUUAGAUACCCUGGUAGUCCAUGCUGUAAACGAUGUCAACUAGUUGUUGGGCGUAUAGAUACGUUUAGUAGCGA